GAUGAACGCUGGCGGCGUGCCUAAUACAUGCAAGUCGAGCGAACGGACGAGAAGCUUGCUUCUCUGAUGUUAGCGGCGGACGGGUGAGUAACACGUGGAUAACCUACCUAUAAGACUGGGAUAACUUCGGGAAACCGGAGCUAAUACCGGAUAAUAUUUUGAACCGCAUGGUUCAAAAGUGAAAGACGGUCUUGCUGUCACUUAUAGAUGGAUCCGCGCUGCAUUAGCUAGUUGGUAAGGUAACGGCUUACCAAGGCAACGAUGCAUAGCCGACCUGAGAGGGUGAUCGGCCACACUGGAACUGAGACACGGUCCAGACUCCUACGGGAGGCAGCAGUAGGGAAUCUUCCGCAAUGGGCGAAAGCCUGACGGAGCAACGCCGCGUGAGUGAUGAAGGUCUUCGGAUCGUAAAACUCUGUUAUUACGGAAGAACAUAUGUGUAAGUAACUGUGCACAUCUUGACGGUACCUAAUCAGAAAGCCACGGCUAACUACGUG
rnacentral:rRNA from 1 species